rnacentral:lncRNA from 1 species
AAAUAUAUUCCUACCUUUAUAAUAAUAAAAAAAAAAGUUUAUACGCAAAAUUUUUGAUUAAUUAUAUAGAAAAUAUCGAGUUAUUACAAUGAGGAUCUUGUGAGAUGUCAGAAAGUGAUUCUUGGUUUGAUAAUUAUUUAAGAGGGUUUGGCUAUUUUGGAGUUGGUUAGGUUUCGCCUUAGAUAUGGAUUUGACAGGCUUGCAAACUUCGAGGAACCCGUUAAAAAUGAAAUUGCCAAUUAUUUAAAUUUCCCUCUUGUAACUGUUCUUUCCACGUUUCUUAGUGGGACAGUUGUAAGUUGCUGAUAAGUCGCACUCUAUAACUCCACCAUCGUGUCUGUUCCUCAGAUUUAACUUUUCUUCCGUUGAUUAUUCCAGUACGUAGAGUAGCUUAAUGAGUAAGCUAUAGACUCUACGAUUUUGGCAACUCAGCGAUCAUCUUCUGAGAGAUGCUUUAGUGGAUGACUUGACACUAAUACUCAUCUUGAAGUUGCUUGGCUUAUGUGACGCCCCCAAAUCCAGGUUCUCUAACCUCAGAUUCAGUGCUCA